CCUCCUUACCAUUACGUCGAUAGACGCACUUGAUGCAGUGCCUACACAGAUUGUUUUGUUUAUUUAUAAAGACUCGCUUCGCGGGUGUCGCGAUUAAUUGCUUUGCUGGAAGCCAAGCUUCCUGACAAUUAAUCUACUCGCUAAAGAAGUGAAACCUAGAUGUUUCGAUGUAGAGUACUAAUUAAUGAUCGCAUCAUUGAUUAGUGUUUUUUAGAAACACUAAUGUUCUUUAACAAUUUGGAAAGCUGAUAUUAAUAGUAAUCAAUCAAAAUUGAGUAACUGAGAAGUCCAAAGACGUACUUUUUACUCUACUUGACUUGAAUUGCUUGUUAUCAACAUUGAUUGAAUAGCAAGGCAAUUUCUUCCGAUUAGCUUGGUCAUGCAUGGCAACCAUUAACCCCUUUGGUCCCGAAUUUCAAAAGGCGGGAACAUUGAGGGCCGAAUACUUCAAGGGCCUUUUUUUAGGGGUUUGUAUUGGGGUUAAAGUUGAACGAAAACCUCUAUAACCGGGGGGAAUGCCCCUUUGUGCCAAAAGGGGUCGAAAUUUUCC
rnacentral:misc_RNA from 1 species